UGGGCGACUUGUGUGGGCUUGGGUGGGGUUUUCAUCUCAUAUUUUGUGGUCGUCUCCGUUUCGGAGUUGGGGGGAAAACCGAAUUGGAGACGUGAGCGCUUCAAAUCCCCGCCAUCCCCCGUCGAUUUCAUCCCAAUCGGGUUGAGGCGAUUCGUUGGUCUGCUGUAUCGAAGGAAUUAUGCGAGUUUCUAACUGUUCUGUAGAUUAAGUUUACUUUGGCCUCGUGCAGUGAGAUGUAAGAGGAAAGGAGAGCAUUCUGAUUGUCGGAAAGAAGGUCGGAGAAUGGAAUGCAACAAGGAUGAGGCCCUCAGGGCAAAAGAGAUUGCUGAAAAGAAGUUCCUGGAAAGGGAUUUAAAUGGUGCCAAGAAAUUUGCCUUGAAGGCACAAAAUCUCUUUCCGGCACUGGAGGGCAUUUGCCAGAUGAUAGCAACUCUAGAUGUUUAUCUUGCCUCAGAAGAAAUAGCUGUCGGUGAGAAGGAUUGGUAUGCAAUUCUCAGUCUCAGUGUUUCGGCAAAUGAAGAUACAGUGAAGAAACAGUAUAGGAAGUUGGCUCUCCAGCUUCAUCCUGACAAGAACAGAUCUGUUGGUGCUGAAGGUGCUUUUAAGCUCAUUUCAGAGGCAUGGAGUGUCUUAUCUGACAAGUCUAGGAGAAUUCUGUACGACCGAAAGAGAAGUGCUAAAGGGUUUUCACAGAAGACUUCCCAACCAAACAAAAAUAACAAUGUUCCUAGUAAUGCAAAUGGGUUUUAUAACUUUGUCAACACUGCUGCAUCAAAGGCACAGACUGUGAAGAAAAGCACUUAUGUGACUCCAGCAACUGUGCAUCCUUCAUCUGAGCCUCCGGUGCCAGAAACAUUUUGGACAUGUUGUAAUAGGUGCAAGAUGCAGUAUGAGUAUCUGAGGUGGUAUCUUAAUCAUACUCUUCUUUGUCCAAACUGCUAUGAGCCCUAUCUAGCUAAAGAAACACAGAGUCCUGCCAAUGGUUGUAAUUCCUCGGUCCCUUGUUCUGCUUCUCAGCAGCGUCACUUAAACUCUGACCAUAACACAACUAGCAAAAAUGCUCAUGGUCUGGGGAGAAGUAAUUCAACUUUUCCAGGCAUGGGAACUUCAAGAUUCCAGAAUGGAGCAAAUCUGGGUUCAUGCAAAAACUUCCAGUGGGGCCCUUUUUCUAGAACUGCAGGAGUUGCAAGUGUGAUUGCCUCAUCAGCUGCCACUGCACAGGCUGCAAAUCUCGACCAUCAGACUUAUGACAAAGUGAGAAGAGAGCAUGAAGAGACAAAAGCAGCAGCUAGGAGGGAUGAUACUAUUCACAGGAAGAAUAGUGCCCCAAAGAGGAAUGCUAAUGCAUGUGGGAUCCUUAAUGCAGGACCAAAUGUUAGUUUACCCACAAAAAGAGGACGAGGCAUUGGUGAUAACUCAACAGAACAGCUUGGUGCAUCUGAAACAAAUAGGAUGAGUGGAGUUCUUGGAGACUUUAAGUUCAGAAUGGGUGUGAGACAUGACAACUUAGGUAGAGAAUUUUCUCAUAUGGAUAUUCGAACUAUGUUGAUUGAAAUGAGUAAGUUAGCAAUCGAUAAGAAGAUAGCAGAGUGGAAAUCUGCUGCCACUGUGAAAAUUGAUGCAAAAGAAAAUGCUAAAAAGAAACAAAAACUGGGUGAAACUGACAAAGAAGAGGUAAAUGAUGUGGUUCAUGGGGAUGCCACUAAUCAAGACAGAUCAGUUGAGUCUGUGACCAACACCAAACAGUUUACCAUUGAGAAGAAUUCAUCAGAUGUCCAAUCUGCUGAUUCAGAUAAUGAGAACAAUGAACCUGUGUCGAUUGAUGUUCCUGAUCCAGAUUUUCAUGAUUUUGAUCAUGACCGUUCUGAGCGAUCUUUUGGAAGUGAUCAAAUAUGGGCCACUUAUGAUGACGAGGAUGGUAUGCCUCGUUAUUAUGCGCUGGUUCAGCAAGUUAUUUCUUUGAAACCUUUCAAGGUGCGCAUGAGCUUUCUCACUUCAAGGUCCAAUAGUGAGUUUGGGCCUCUGAAUUGGGUUGCAUCUGGUUUUGCAAAAACCUGUGGUGAUUUCAGGAUUGGACGAUAUGAGGUGAAUGAUACAGUUAAUAUCUUUUCACAUAAAGUCAAGUGGGAAAAGGGUCCCCGUGGUGUCAUCAAAAUUAUUCCAAGAAAAGGUGAAACCUGGGCUCUCUACAGAAAUUGGUCUCCAAAAUGGAAUGAACAUACUCCUGAUGAUAUCAUCUAUAAGUAUGACAUGGUAGAAGUCCUUGAAGACUAUAGUGAAGAAGAGGGUGUAUCUGUAAUCGCUUUAGCAAAAGUAUCUGGAUUUAGAACAGUAUUUCGUCGUCACAUGGAUCCAAAGGAAUCAAAGAGAAUCCCAAAAGAAGAAAUGUUUCGGUUUUCACAUCAAGUGCCUUCUUAUUUACUGACUGGUGAAGAGGUUGAGAAUGCUCCGAAGGGUUUCUUUGAGCUGGACCCUGCAGCAACUCCUUUGGAGCUUCUUCAAAAAAUCUGUGAAAGCAAAAAGGAAGUGGCAUUGGAGGCUGUUGAACAGGCAGUCAACUAGUAGCUGUUGCCUUGGUAUUUGUUAGAACUUUCAGAAUCAUGUCAAUCCAAGUCCAUUUCGACAUUUAGUUUCUGUUGCUGUAUAGUAUCAAAGGGUAUAUAAUUUCAAAGAUUUUACAGUUGGCGACUGGGACAAAGGUUCUGGAUGAAGAGUUGUUUUUGCAGUUACUUGUAAUAGGUGUCUGGCAAUGGUUUUGUCUGCAAUAGGAAGAUAGCUGAGACUUCAAAAAAAUCCGUUGAAUACAGAUUGCAGAGAUUAAAGACUUUGCUUACUACAGCUUUUGCAGGUGUUUCCUUCAGAGAUUGAUACUUUGCGAUUGCUUUUGAGCUGAAUUGCCAGACUAAAGACAAGUUUUGGUGAAUGCCCACCACCGUCUGCGCAUAGCUGAUAAAGCAAGCCCAGAGGUCUGGGCAUGGUGGAAUUUGACCCGGUUGCUUCUGGAGAUUCAUUCCCUGGGUUCUAUGGCUGAUGGGUAUAGAUUUUACCAUGUUUCCCUCGUUAGUGCUUUGCUUGUUUCCAUUCACAUUGGAAACAUCAAGGUAACAGGUUUAAGAAGAUCAUGGGAGUUUGUUAUCGGUUGCUGAUGAUAUACAACUAAUGGUGGGUUUUGUUGCUCAUUUGCCAGACCAUGCUUUAUACCAUGGCUGUGAAAUGGUUGAUGAUUGAAGACUCCUUGUUAAAUUCCAUCGAUCAUUCAACAGGAAUUUUCCUUUCUCUUUUUA